CCUACGGGGGCCAGCAGUGAGGAAUAUUGGUCAAUGGUCGGGAGCCUGAACCAGCCAAGCCGCGUAAGGGAGGAAGGUACAGAGAAUCGUAAACCUCUUUUGUCAGGGAACAAAGGCGGGGACGUGUCCCCGGAUGAGUGUACCUGAAGAAAAAGCAUCGGCUAACUCCGUGCCAGCAGCCGCGGUAAUACGGAGGAGGGGAGCGUUAUCCGGAUUUAUUGGGUUUAAAGGGGG
rnacentral:rRNA from 1 species